CUGGGGAGUAUAAAUCCUAUGAAUUCAUCGCUGCCUUUACAGACAUCAUGAUGACUAAGAAAAUUUUCACCAUCUUCAGUAAUUCUGGACAAUGCAUUGUGUGCCAUUGGAGGUCACGUCUUUGUUUUGGCAAGGGUCUUCUAUAAUAGAUAUCUCUAGAAACCUUUAAAAACUCACGAUGAG